ACAUAGUAAACCAAGAGCAAUUUAAAGGAGGUACACCCCCUUUAAAAAAGGACACACCCUCACAUAGCGGAUACCCCCCACCCCCCCUUCCCCGUAGGCCUUCAAGCAGCCACCAACAAAGAGUGCGUCAAAGCCUCUCCACCCAAAAAAUCUGAAAACAGCAUGACUCCCUCCUCACUAACAGGCCAACCUAUUACAAUAGGAGAACCAAUACUAGAAUGAGUAACUAGGGGUACCCCUCUCAAGCGCAAACUUACAUCCUCACAUUAUUAACAGCCCCAACUAAUGUACUACACCAACAAGCCAACACAUUAAACCCACUCUGUUAAUCCAACUCAGGAGCGCUCAUUAAGAGGACUAAAACCUGCAAAAGGAACUAGGCAAACCCAAGACCCGACUGUUUACCAAAAACAUAGCCUUCAGCAAACCAAGUAUUGAAGGUGAUGCCUGCCCAGUGACUCUACUUAAAUGGCCGCGGUAUCCUAACCGUGCGAAGGUAGCGCAAUCAAUUGUCCCAUAAAUCGAGACUUGUAUGAAUGGCUAAACGAGGUCUUAACUGUCUCUUGCAGAUGGUCAGUGAAAUUGAUCUUCCUGUGCAAAAGCAGGAAUAGACACACAAGACGAGAAGACCCUGUGGAACUUAAAAAUCAGCGGCCACCACACAAAUAUAUCCCCCUACUUAGGCUCACAAUAAAAAAGCACUGGCCCGCAUUUUUCGGUUGGGGCGACCUUGGAGAAAAACAAACCCUCCAAAACUAAGACCACGCACUCUUAACCAAGAGCAACCCCUCAAUGUACUAACAGUAACCAGACCCAACAACAGUUGAUCAAUGGACCAAGCUACCCCAGGGAUAACAGCGCAAUCUCCCCCAAGAGCCCAUAUCGACAGGGAGGUUUACGACCUCGAUGUUGGAUCAGGACAUCCUAAUGGUGCAGCAGCUAUUAAGGGUUCGUUUGUUCAACGAUUAAUAGUCCUACGUGAUCUGAGUUCAGACCGGAGCAAUCCAGGUCGGUUUCUAUCUGUGCUACACUUUCCCUAGUACGAAAGGACCGGAAAAGUAAGGCCAAUGCCAUAAGCACGCCUUCUCCCCAAGUAAUGACUCCAUCUAAAUUACAAAGAGAACCCACACAACCUUCAAGCCCAGAAAAGGCCGCUAGCGUGGCAGAGCCGGGUAAAUGCAA
rnacentral:rRNA from 1 species